GCCCUUCGUCCUUCAUCGGCUCUUAGUGCCAAGGCAUCCACUGUACGCCCUUAUUUUCUUCAUUAUUUUGAGAAUUUACGUUGUUUAUCUACUUUUCAAAGAACUUUUUUGAUUUUCAGUACAUUUAGACUGGUGGGCCUAAAUGGACUUGAACCACCGACCUCACGCUUAUCAGGCGUGUGCUCUAACCAACUGAGCUAUAGGCCCUUAAAAUCUUAAAGAAUAUUAUAUUAAAAGAAUUAACUAAUGAAAAAAACGAAAAACUUAUUUUUUAAAUUAACUUAAGUCUUUCAAAACUGAAGAUGAUGAUUUUAAAAAAUUUCCUUAGAAAGGAGGUGAUCCAUCCCCACCUUCCGGUAGGGAUACCUUGUUACGACUUAACCCCAAUCAUCGACCCUACCUUAGACGAUUCCCUCUGCUUACGCAGUUAGGCUGUCGCUUUCGGGUAUUGUCCACUUUCGUGGUUUGACGGGCGGUGUGUACAAACCCCGAGAACGUAUUCACCGCGACAUGCUGAUUCGCGAUUACUAGCGAUUCCAACUUCAUGACGUCGAGUUGCAGACUUCAAUCCGAACUGAGACUAUUUUUUUGAGAUUUGCCAAAAACUCGCGUUUCAGCUACUCUUUGUAAUAGCCAUUGUAUCACGUUUGUAGCCCAGAUCAUAAGGGGCAUGAUGAUUUGACGUAAUCCCCACCUUCCUCCAAUUUUUCAUUGGCAGUCUCGCUAAAGUCCCCACCAUAACGUGCUGGCAAUUAACGACAGGGGUUGCGCUCGUUUUAGAACUUAACCUAACAUCUCACGACACGAGCUGACGACAACCAUGCACCACCUGUAUCCCUGAUAACCUCCACUAUAUUUCUAUAGCUUUGCAGAGUAUGUCAAGACCUGGUAAGGUUUUUCGUGUAUCUUCGAAAUUAACACAUGAUCCACCGCUUGUGCGGGAUCCCCGUCAUUCCUUU
rnacentral:rRNA from 1 species